UGAAAGAUCGUCUUUCAGCAUUACCAUAUUGUAGAAACUUAUAUUACGGGUUCCCUCGAUCGUCCACCAUGCUCUAGCCUUUUGGCACCAACAACAAUUCUUCUUACUUAAGCACAAACUCAAGUUUAGUUUUAACAGAAUGCUCAACCGAGAUAUUGAAUGUCGUUGGGUGAGCUGCAGAUCGAGACUCCACUGCCUGAAGAUCCCUUAAGAGUGGUUUUUCCUGAGAAAAAUAUUAUCAAAAAUAUUAUUGUUUAGUAAUCUUAGAAAUAGCCACAUAGAGAUCAUAAGUCGAACUCCACCUUUUAGACAAGACAAACUUGAUGCUAGCAUGCGAUAACCAAACUGCUAAGAAAUGAAAAGGUUUAUUCGGAGGAGAAAACAUAUGAGUGGAUGGGCACAUUAGAAGUGGGUGAUGAUCAGACUUAUGUUUGUGGAGCAACACCGACAAGUCAAGCAGCUCUUUCAUAUCCCAUUCCGAAACCAAAGUACACCACAUAUUAUACAGAAGGGGAGAUCGCUCAAACCACAAAUAUCAACCGUGUUAAUGAACUAUUUACUCCUACUUCUAAGAAAGGGAGUGCCAUCCCUCAAAUCAUCAGUUGAAAGCGUACACUAGAAAAAAUUAUAUGUUUAACGACGGUUUUAUAUCUAUUUUAGCGGUAGAUAGUUUGUUAUUAGAAAUCUUAGUGACGGAUAGAAAUCUCCUGUUAGGUUAAGUAAUGGUAGAUAAGUUAACGACGAAUUUUAUCCCCGUUAAAGCAAACAGCGGAUAAAAUUCGUCGUUGAACUUUUCGUUCAGUAAUAAAAAACGCAAAAACCUAAUUGAGUUUCUGCGUUCAUCGUUCGUCGUUCUUCAUUCAUCGUUCUUCGUUUUCAGUCAUUUCUUCUUCUUCUUCUUUGAUUCUUCUUCUUAUUCUUCGAUUUUUCUUCCUCUUGUUCUUUGAUUCUUCUUCUUAUUCUUCGAUUCUUCUUCCUCUUGUUCUUUGAUUCUUCUUCUUCUUGUUUUUCGCUUCUUUUUUUCUUCUUCUUUGAUUCUUUUUUGAUUCUUCAUUUUUUUGAUUUN
rnacentral:lncRNA from 1 species